UGACGAAGCGACGCCGCGUGUGGGAAGAAGGCCUUCGGGUUGUAAACCACUGUCGGGAGUUAAGAAAUGCAAGGAUAUUAAUAGUGUCUUUGCUUGACUAAGGCUCCGGAGGAAGCCACGGCUAACUCUGUGCCAGCAGCCGCGGUAAUACAGAGGCGGCAAGCGUUGUUCGGAAUUAUUGGGCGUAAAGAGCACGUAGGCGGCUAUGUAAGUCGGUUGUGAAAGCCUUCCGCUCAACGGGAGAACAGCAUCCGAUACUACAUGGCUUGAGUGCGGGAGGGGAGAGUGGAACUUCUGGUGGAGCGGUGAAAUGCGUAGAUAUCAGAAGGAACGCCGGCGGCGAAAGCGGCUCUCUGGCCCAUAACUGACGCUGAGUGUGCGAAAGCUAGGGGAGCAAACGGGAUUAGAUACCCCGGUAGUCCUAGCCGUAAACGAU
rnacentral:rRNA from 1 species